rnacentral:rRNA from 1 species
GACGAACGCUGGCGGCGUGCUUAACACAUGCAAGUCGAACGGACAGGCCCUGCUUUUGUGGGGUGCUCGAGUGGCGAACGGGUGAGUAACGCGUGAGUAACCUGCCCUUGACUUUGGGAUAACUUCAGGAAACUGGGGCUCAUACCGGAUAGGAGCUCCUGCUGCAUGGUGGGGGUUGGAAAGUUUCGGUGGUUGGGGAUGGACUCGCGGCUUAUCAGCUUGUUGGUGGGGUAGUGGCUUACCAAGGCUUUGACGGGUAGCCGGCCUGAGAGGGUGACCGGCCACAUUGGGACUGAGAUACGGCCCAGACUCCUACGGGAGGCAGAAGUGGGGAAUAUUGCACAAUGGGCGGAAGCCUGAUGCAGCAACGCCGCGUGCGGGAAGACGGCCUUCGGGUUGUAAACCGCUUUCGCCGGUGACGAAGCGUGAGUGACGGUAAUGGGUAAAGAAGCACCGGCUAACUACGUG